GCCACAUCAACCUCAUUAGACAGUCCAACGAUAAUUUUUCUAUUGAGAAACUGCCAUGUAAAAGAUAUGACUACCCUGAGACUGCAUUGUGUGGGGGACAGCCCAAGCGAACCACCUGGAGUGGCCAUGUCGAGAGGGAGAUGCCUCACUAGACUCUAGCUGUUCCAGCCAUUCUAGCCUAGGAACCAGAGAGCAAGAUUUUGAGGUUAAGGUGACUCAUAAACAGCUGAGCAGCCAGUCAGG